rnacentral:rRNA from 1 species
GAUGAACGCUAGCGGCAGGCCUAAUACAUGCAAGUCGAACGGUGUCUUCGGACAUAGUGGCGCACGGGUGCGUAACGCGUAUGCAACCUACCUUAAUCAGGGGGAUAGCCUCUCGAAAGAGAGAUUAACACCGCAUAAAAUCACACUUCGGCAUCGAAGAAUGAUCAAAUAUUUAUAGGAUUAAGAUGGGCAUGCGUGACAUUAGCUAGUUGGUAAGGUAACGGCUUACCAAGGCUACGAUGUCUAGGGGAUCUGAGAGGAUGACCCCCCACACUGGUACUGAGACACGGACCAGACUCCUACGGGAGGCAGCAGUAAGGAAUAUUGGUCAAUGGGGGCAACCCUGAACCAGCCAUGCCGCGUGCAGGAAGACGGCCCUACGGGUUGUAAACUGCUUUUAUACGGGAAUAAAUCUCGCUACGUGUAGUGAGUUGAAUGUACUGUAAGAAUAAGGAUCGGCUAACUCCGUG